rnacentral:rRNA from 1 species
UACGAGUGCCUCAAGCGUUAUCCGGAAUUAUUGGGCGUAAAGGGUAUGUAGGUGGUUUUGUUAGUCUUCUGUUAAAUUUCUCGGCUCAACCGAGAACUUGCAGGGGAAACGGCAAGACUCAGAGUGUGCGAGGGGUCUGUGGAACUCUAGGUGUAGCAGUGAAAUGCGUUGAUAUCAGAAGGAACAUCAGUGGCGAAGGCGGCUUUCUGGACCAAUACUGACGAUCAGGUGCGAAAGCGUGGGGAGCAAACAGG